CGGGGUGUAGUGAAUCGGUAUCACGUUACGUUCGGGACGUAAAGACACUGGGUUCAAUUCCCAGCACCCCGA
rfam:Microgenomates bacterium GW2011_GWC1_43_13 TV71_C0002, whole genome shotgun sequence.